rfam:Salmo salar isolate Sally breed double haploid chromosome ssa12, whole genome shotgun sequence.
UGUAUACACUCACUGUAAGUCACUUCGGAUAAAAGUGUCUGCUAAAUGGCUUAUU